UGAAGACCACAGAAACCGUCCACGUCACAAGGAGGAGCUGAAGGGGGAUGAGGCGCCGGAGAGGAGAAGCCACGGCCCUGCUUCCUCCCCGAGCCAGCCAUGUGCCUCGGCAGCCUGUGCUGUGUGGCUCUUUUACUCUGGGGAGCAGGCUCCAUGGACACCGAGGUCACCCAGAGUCCAAGUCAGCUGAUCAAAGGAAAAGACGAGAAAGCAAAGAUGGAUUGUGUUCCCAAAGAAGGACAUGCUUACGUUUACUGGUAUCGCAAGAAGCUGGAAGAAGCAUUUGAGUUUUUGGUUUACUUUCAGAAUGAAGACCCUAUGGAAGAAACAGCUGUGUUCAAACAGCGAUUUUCAGCUGAGUGCCCCAAAAACUCACCCUGCAGCCUGGAAAUCAAGUCCACCGAGGCAGCGGACUCAGCUUUGUAUUUCUGUGCCAGCAGCCAGUCCACAGUGCAGCACGUCAGCUCUUCCUAGAACACAAACUCACCGUGAACCCAGCUCAGGAAAUCAGUGGUGUCGCAGGAGGGUAGGAACUAACAGAAACCCACCUUGAAAGAGCAUGAACCAGAUGGAAAAAAUCUGUAAAUGAGCAACACUGCAUGAGAAGAAGGGGAGGUGGAAAACAGCUAGUGGGAACACAAACCCAAGGAUGGGGCAGGAAGCUGUAAGGGGUCUCGGAUUCCCCUGGUUGCAGGGUAUCUGGCAAAGGAGACACAGGAUGUGACUCAAUGGGUUCCUAACAAUCUUUAUUAAAACAUGUAGUUCUGUGCUUUUCAUCUUGCAAAACAGUGCCUGUAGGAAUAAGGAAAAUCAGCAGGGGUACCCUGAUCUCCUGGCUCUGCACAUUCAUUGAUCCAGAGACUCCUCAGGGUUCAUCACUGCUUCUCUCAGCUGUCCUUGCCAGAGAAACUGAACCAGAAACUCAGCAACUCCCUACGUCCUGAAAACUACAAUCACACAAGUUUUAAAAGCAAUUUGAGGUAUAACAUAGUCACGAUAAAAUAUACCCAUUUCAAGUAUAUAUUGUAAUAUGUUUGAUAAAUUUUUAGACCCAUGUAACCUACUUGAUAGGGCUUCCCUGGUAGCUUAACAGUAAAGAAUCUGCCUGCAAUGAGGGAGACCUGGGUUCAAUUCCUGGGUCGGGAACAUCCCCCAAAGAAGGAAAUGGCAACCCACUCCAGUAUUCUUGCCUGGAGAAUCCCAUGGACAGAGGAGUCUAGCAGACUACAGUCCACAGGGUUGCAAAUAGUUGGACACGACUGAGCUAUUCACACACACACAGACGCACACACACACAGAGGAGACCUACCUGGUGUGCUUCACUGGUGACUCAAUGGUGAAGAAUACGCCUGCCAAAGCAGAAGACAAGGGUUUGAUCCCUGGGUGGGGAAAACCCUCUAGAGGAGGAAGCAGCAACCCACUCUAGUAUUCUUACCUGGGAAAUCCCAUGGACAGAGGAGCCUGGCAUGCUACAGUCCAUGGGGUCGCCAAAGAGUUGGAUACUCUUAGUUGGACAUGACUUGGAGAUUAAACAGCAAUAACAAGCAUGAUACUCAAGGUACAGAAUAUUUCCCCCUUCCUAAAUGUCCCCACAUGCUGCUUUAUUGAGGUCUUUACAUUCUCUCUGUAUUGCUGCAUUGCUCUGUAUUUUUUCAUCCAACACAUCUUACAUAUAGUUUGUUGAUU